rnacentral:rRNA from 1 species
AUUGAACGCUGGCGGCAUGCCUUACACAUGCAAGUCGAACGGUAACAGGUUAAGCUGACGCGUGGCGAACGGGUGAGUAAUACAUCGGAACGUGCCCAGUAGUGGGGGAUAGCCCGGCGAAAGCCGGAUUAAUACCGCAUACGACCUAAGGGUGAAAGGGGGGGAUCGCAAGACCUCUCGCUAUUGGAGCGGCCGAUGUCAGAUUAGCUAGUUGGUGGGGUAAAAGCUCACCAAGGCGACGAUCUGUAGCUGGUCUGAGAGGACGACCAGCCACACUGGGACUGAGACACGGCCCAGACUCCUACGGGAGGCAGCAGUGGGGAAUUUUGGACAAUGGGCGCAAGCCUGAUCCAGCCAUGCCGCGUGCGGGAAGAAAGCCUUCGGGUUGUAAACCGCUUUUGUCAGGGAAGAAAUCCUUUGGGUUAAUACCUCGGGGGGAUGACGGUACCUGAAGAAUAAGCACCGGCUAACUACGUG